ensembl:lncRNA
ACAGAAAGCAACAUUUAUUCAGACAUGCUUUAUGAAGCCACAUGUUAAACCGUGUCAAAAUGUCUACGGGCGUAUAAACCUUAUCAGUCCAAUUAUUAGUAAGAGCAUUUGUACAAUGACAUAUAAUACAUAACAAUAUUACAAAGCUCAACAUACAUUUGCAACUCAGCUACAGCUAUAAGCCAGUUUGAGGGGAUAAAUCUAUUGUUUUUCUACAAUGACGGACCAACCAACCACAAGGAGUGUGUGACAAGAUUAAUAACUUAAAUAUUAAGUAGAAAAUGUGUUAUGUGCAAUUUGAUAUUCAAAAUAACAAUAGAUGAAUUAACAUAGUAUCUACCGUUAGACCUAAUAGUACAACUUUAAACUUUAAAAAUAUAAAACUAAUCAUGUUUACAUAUUUUACUUCCUAAAGUCUUGGACAAGGCAUUAUCAUCCUUGCUGUGCAUUUGUAAAGGACAAAUGUUAGGUAGGAACCACAUUUGAGUUCACAUCAAAAUGGAUCAGAUCCUUCUGUUUCAAUUGGUCAAUACCCAAUACCCUCAAAUCUAUGAAGCAGACCAAGGUUAAACCUAAUGCUAAGAUAAAAUAAGAAAAUACUUGACAAAACAAGAUUUCAUAGCCUUAAAAGCCCCUUUAAAACAAAAUGGAUGCCACGAACGGUCUAAUACCACAGUCCUUCAAAACCACUUAGCUUCUAAGUGUUAGUCUGUUUUAGCACAUAGCAACACCCAGGACUGCAUUUCAGUGUGAUACAAAUUAUCUGGUCUCUGUCUAAAGAGAGAUCUAAAGAAGAGAGUAGAUCUGUCAGGAAGUGGCUAGUUCCUGUGUGCCCUAUUUAAAAGCCAAGUGAACGGGGCUGCUUUCAAGAGCACAGGGGCUAGGUGAGAGUAGAUACAACACAACAUUACUGGGGCUAGGUGAGAGUAGAUACAGCACAACAUUACUGGGGCUAGGUGAGAGUAGAUACAACACAACAUUACUGGGGCUAGGUGAGAGUAGAUACAACACAACAUUACUGGGGCUAGGUGAGAGUAGAUACAACACAACAUUACUGGGGCUAGGUGAGAGUAGAUACAACACAACAUUACUGGGGCUAGGUGAGGGUAGAUACAACACAACAUUACUGGGGCUAGGUGAGAGUAGAUACAACACAACAUUACUGGGGCUAGGUGAGAGUAGGCAUCAAGUGUACUCACUUUUACAGUAGCUCAGUAAUCAUACCGCCUACACUCUUAGAAAAAAGGGUUCCAAAAGGGUUCUUUGGCUGUCCCAUAGGAUAACUAUUUUUUGUUCCAGGUAGAACUCUUUGGGUUCUUCUGGGAAAGGGUUCUACAUGGAACCCAAUAGGGUUCUACCUGGAAUCAAAAGGGUUCUUUCUGGAACCUAAAAUGGUUCUUCAAAGGGUUCUCUUAUUGAAGAACCCUUUUAGGUUCUAGAUUUCUUUCUAAGAGUGUAGUUCCUGUUUUGCAAUGUGCCGUCUGAAACCUUUUGUGAAAUGGUAAAUAAUCCUAGCCUGAUAGGUAUUUUCCAGAACAGAGUUAAGGUCACAUUUGCUAUGCAUUUGGAACUGGUGAAAAGUUUGCACCUGUUUUUAAUGGAUGAAACACCAAAGCUACAACAGCGAACUGUCUUCAUUUAUACUUAAUAAAUGAUUCACUUUCUGAACCUUUAUUCUUACCUUUUCAUUUAACCUUUUAUGUCCAAUUCCCGAUGGUAAACUUACUGUGCAAUAUUGAUACCUGAUGUAAAGUGCAAAUGUUGAAUAAAUGGGGCCCUUAGUGGUCAGAAGGGAGGCUUGUAAAAUAGGUGUGUUGUCAAAUUUGAUGUACAUCCUGCCAUUGAGAUUUGGACUGGCAGAGCUUGUCUCAGACAUUUUAUAAAAGCCCUGAAUAUUCUUUUAACACUUGGAAGUAGUUAUUCAAGACAAAUAACUUCUGAAGAAAAUUAUAUUUUCAUGAACUACAUGAACACAACCCACCUCAUACAUGAUUACUACAACUACAUAAACACAACCCACCUCAUACAUGAUUACUACAACUACAUGAACACAACCCACAUCAUACAUGAUUACUACAACUACAUGAACACAAC